UUUAUAACUUCCCUGCCUGGGUUACCGAGACAGUGGAUUGCGCAGUCAAAUGGAACAGAAUGAAUAGGCAUUUUAACGUCAUAGAUUUAGCCGGUGGUAAUUUGUGGAAUAGACACCGGCUGAAAUGUGCUUUUAACUAAUCAGCAUUCAGGAUUAGACCCACCCGUUGAAUAAUGUGCUGUACUUGUAACAGGGUUUUAUUGGUGAUUCCCCUUGCCACUUUAUUGUUAAGCCAAUGGGUUUUUGGUGUUAGUUUUGUCUUGCCUUCACCUACUCAACAUGGCAUCUUAUUGGCUGGUUUGCGUAGUUUGCUUACGAGGGAGGAUGUUUCAGUUAGAAUCGUCCCAGUGAACAAGCACCAAACCAGCGGUAAGUUGUUGGUUGCAAAGCACUGUACAUCAAAAGUGAUUUUUAUACUCCCAAGUGAUGAUUUAAGUGUACAAUUUAUAUACAUUUGUUUGUAAAUGUUAUUCGAACAUCACACAUAAGAUGCAGUGUUUUUUGGAGAAUAUUGGUUGUGCAUUUUGGUUGUAAAGAAUUCCCGCCAGUACUAGCUAGCAACUUACUGUGUGGUGGGGGGGGGUUCAUAUAUUUUGUACAGUGCGUGAGUGCAGAGUUGGAUGGUGAGCCGUGCAUUGCAUGACGUGCAAUUUUGUGCUGUUCCUACCAGGUACAUUGUUAAAGAUAUUAUAUUGUAUAUUGUAAUUGUAUUAUUUUGGUAACUACAUGCCCCAGUGAACAAGCACCAAACCAGCGUGCGUGAGUGCAGAGUUGGAUGGUGAGCCGUGCAUUGCAUGACGUGCAAUUUUGUGCUGUUCCUACCAGAAUAAAUCUCCAUGACUGGUGCAACACGUUGGAAUUCGUGUCGAGGAUUGAUUGUACACAACGCAAGAAGAGUACUGUUACAUACUUUAAUGUUCAAAAUUGUGAAACAAACUGCUAUUAGGUCCUGACCAACCAAAUUUGGUUUUAUUUGGGGACAGAGCUCAUUAAAAUAAGUCAUUGUGUACAAUAAUACCCAAAUAUGCAAAUUGGAUAUUGCAUAUUUUUUCCCUUGUGUACCUAUUCAGGAUACAUCACUAUGAAGAGAAUGACAUUCAUAUCCAUAAUUAUGCAUAUCUGUGGAGUACAGAUCAGGGACCCGUGAUACACCUGGUAAUGGAAUUGCGGAAUUAUUGAAUCCUAAUUUGGAGCAGAUAUGUAAGAGCUUUUGGAAAACGUGGACACAAAAAAACUGAGGGAGAUUUUAACGAAAUUAUGUUACCAAACUUUGCAUCUGCAUAGUUUUCCAGUAAAUGUGUUUUUGUAAAAUGUUCAGUGUAAAUUGUUAAACAUAGUCCCUGUGCAUAGGGUUGUACGGUUUAUUAAACUUUGAAAUCAA